UGCGUAGGCGGGCAGGUAAGUCAGUGGUGAAAUCCUGGAGCUCAACUCCAGAACUGCCAUUGAUACUAUCUGUCUUGAAUAUUGUGGAGGUAAGCGGAAUAUGUCAUGUAGCGGUGAAAUGCUUAGAUAUGACAUAGAACACCCAUUGCGAAGGCAGCUUACUACGCAUAUAUUGACGCUGAGGCACGAAAGCGUGGGGAUCAAACA
rnacentral:rRNA from 1 species